UAUAAACGACUCUCGGCAACGGAUAUCUCGGCUCACGCAUCGAUGAAGAACGUAGCAAAAUGCGAUACUUGGUGUGAAUUGCAGAAUCCCGUGAACCAUCGAGUUUUUGAACGCAAGUUGCGCCCGAAGCCUUUUGGCCGAGGGCACGUCUGCCUGGGCGUCACGC
rnacentral:rRNA from 1 species